GCGGAAAUAACUUAAUGGUAAAGCAUAACCUUGCCAAGGCUGAGGUUGAGGGUUUUAAGUCCCUCCUUUUGCU
rnacentral:tRNA from 1 species